GUGGGGAAUAUUGGACAAUGGGCGCAAGCCUGAUCCAGCCAUGCCGCGUGAGUGAUGAAGGCCCUAGGGUUGUAAAGCUCUUUCACCGGUGAAGAUAAUGACGGUAACCGGAGAAGAAGCCCCGGCUAACUUCGUGCCAGCAGCCGCGGUAAUACGAAGGGGGCUAGCGUUGUUCGGAAUUACUGGGCGUAAAGCGCACGUAGGCGGGUAUUUAAGUCAGGGGUGAAAUCCCGUAGCUCAACUCCGGAACUGCCUUUGAUACUGAGUACCUAGAGUAUGGAAGAGGUAAGUGGAAUUCCGAGUGUAGAGGUGAAAUUCGUAGAUAUUCGGAGGAACACCAGUGGCGAAGGCGGCUUACUGGUCCAUUACUGACGCUGAGGUGCGAAAGCGUGGGGAGCAAACAGGAUUAGAACCCGGGUAGUCC
rnacentral:rRNA from 1 species